rnacentral:lncRNA from 1 species
GAACAAGGUCCAUUUGAUUUAAAUAAAAGUCCAUUUCGUUGCCAAGAUAUCCAUUCCAUUACACAAGACCAAAAACUACAAAGUCCAUACAAAAUUACACAAAGUUUCACCUUUUGACCUACAAUUGACUUUGAUCAACUGUUGACUUUUUGGUCAAAUAGUUGAACAAAGUCAACACUAAUCCUAAUCCUAAUUCCUACAUUUUCUUCAUUCACAAGUUAUUCCCAUUCCCGUGAACCUCUACAAACUUCAAGUCUUCAUGAUUCUUGAUGAUUCUUCACUAUACCAUGACUUGCUCCAUGCCUUGUUCCAUGCCAAGGUCUUCACACAACAAGCCUUUAA